rnacentral:rRNA from 1 species
GACGAACGCUGGCGGCGUGCCUAAUACAUGCAAGUCGAACGCUUCUUUCCUCCCGAGUGCUUGCACUCAAUUGGAAAGAGGAGUGGCGGACGGGUGAGUAACACGUGGGUAACCUACCCAUCAGAGGGGGAUAACACUUGGAAACAGGUGCUAAUACCGCAUAACAGUUUAUGCCGCAUGGCAUAAGAGUGAAAGGCGCUUUCGGGUGUCGCUGAUGGAUUGACCCGCGGUGCAUUAGCUAGUUGGUGAGGUAACGGCUCACCAAGGCCACGAUGCAUAGACGAACUGAGAGGGUGAUCGGCCACACUGGGACUGAGACACGGCCCAGACUACUACGGGAGGCAGCAGUAGGGAAUCUUCGGCAAUGGACGAAAGUCUGACCGAGCAACGCCGCGUGAGUGAAGAAGGUUUUCGGAUCGUAAAACUCUGUUGUUAGAGAAGAACAAGGACGUUAGUAACUGAACGUCCCCUGACGGUAUCUAACCAGAAAGCCACGGCUAACUACGUG